GGGAUCGCGAGGUCUCGUGGGAAGGAAGCCUCAGUCAAAGCUGAUGAGCCGACGAACAGAAAGAUCAUAUCAGGCUGACGGAGCGGACAAGCUGGCACCACACAGCCAAGUCCGGUGUUCAACUCCGGAGGUAAAUGAUCCGGCUGCGCAGCAAGAGUUCACGUC
rfam:Freshwater sediment metagenome lwMethane_BCGO26205_y1, whole genome shotgun sequence.